rnacentral:rRNA from 1 species
GACGAACGCUGGCGGCGUGCCUAAUACAUGCAAGUAGAACGCAGUUGCGAACGGGUGAGUAACGCGUAGGUAACUGCCUCAUCGCGGGGGAUAACUAUUGGAAACGAUAGCUAAUACCGCAUACUGUGAGAUGGAACUACUUUUUAUUAGUGAGUUGGUGAGGUAAAGGCUCACCAAGGCGACGAUACAUAGCCGACCUGAGAGGGUGGUCGGCCAAACGUGGAAUGAGACACGGGCCAAAAUCCUACGGGAGGCAGCCGGUGGGAAAUUUCGGCAAUGGACGGAAGUCUUACCGAGCAACGCCGCCUGAGGGAAGAAGGUUUUCGGAUCGUAAAGCUCUGUUGUUAGGGAAGCGGUACCUAACCAGAAAGGGACGGCUAACUACGUGCCAGCCGCCGCGGUAAUUC